rnacentral:misc_RNA from 1 species
GAAGUAAAGUCGUAACAAGGUUUCCGUAGUGAACCUGCGAAGAUCAUUAAAAAUUGGGUGACUGUAAUUUAGGUUAACCCAUUAAUAAUAUCCUACCCUUUGUAAUUUGUUUGUUAUGUAAAAUUUUUUGUCUAUCCUAAAGAAAGGUGAUAAGUGUAAUAGCUUAAAAACUUUUUUAGGAAUGGUUAAAGACUUUUAUUUAAAAUUAACUUUUUGUAUUCAUUGUCUAAAAUUAAUUUUUAAAUAAAUAAUUUAAAACAACUUUUGACAAUGGAUCUCUUGGUUCUCGCAACGAUGAAGAACGCAGCAAAAUGGAUAAGUAAUGUGAAUUGCAGAAUACGUGAAUCAUCAAAUCUUCGAACGCAUAUGCAUUUUUAUUACUAAAAGUAUGUCUGUUGAGUAUCAGUAAAAUAUUCCAUAAAAUCAUUUGAUUUAUGGUUAUGAGUGUUUUACAACGAUAACAAGUUUUCACUUUAAAUGGAUUUUAAUUGAAAUCGUCGUUGGAACGAUUUAAUUUUUUUAAAAAUUGGAUAAAAUUUCCCGUAAAAGGAAUAAAGCUAUUUCAGUUUUUAGAAAUUUAAUAGUUUCCAUACCGGUACAGUUAAAGGAAAUUUAUUAUAAAUAACUGAUCUCAAAUCAGAUAACCGCUGAACUUAAGCAUAUCAAUAAGCGGAGGAAAAGAACUAACAAGGAUUCCUUAGUAACGGCGAGUGAGCGGAAGAGCUCAAAUUGAAAUCUUCAAGGUUCUACCUUGACGAAUUUAGUUUAAAGAAGUGUUUCUGUUAGAGAGUGCAAAAGUUCUUGAAUAGGACAUCAUAGAGGUGAGAAUCCGUAUUUGGUCAUUUUUCUAGCUGUGAUACACUUCAAGAGUCGGAUUGUUUGGGAAUGCAGUCCAAAAUGGGUGGUAAUUCAUCUAAAGCUAAAUAUUGGCGAGAGACGAUAGCGAACAAGUACCGUGAGGAAAGAUAAAGAACUUUGAAAAGAGAGUUAAACAGUACGUGAAUGUCAAAAGGAAGCGUUACACCAUGUUGUUUUCGAAAUCAAUUGUGCUGGCUGGAUUUGUAGGAGUUUGACCUUAUCAGCUUCUCUGCUUUUCCGUCUGGUGCAUGCACUUUUCGGUUACAAUCAACAUCAAUUUCUUUUGUUGUAAAAGGGUAAUUGGAAGCGGGCUUUCUUUCGGAGAAGUGCUUAUAGCCUUUUACCUCUACAAUCGGAGAGAUUGAGGUCUGCAGCGUAGAUCUCGGGUUAAUACAUUGUGCUAAGUUAUAGCCUGUAUAGACAACUUUUGACUAUACUCGGUCAUGUAGCUUACUCGCUUAUGCUAUUUUACCUACGCUUAGGAUGUU